AAAGAGACUUAGAGCAUUGAUGUUUCAUUUACUGGAAUUUGAGAAUCAGGUUCAAGUAUCCUUUCUUUGUUGAAUAUUUUGGUUACUCCUUUACUAGAAAGUAUCUAUGGUGGUUUCUCAAAUUUUAUCAUUGAAAAGUCUACUGCUCUAAUUAAUUCUCUUUCUUGUCUAACUUCUGGCCUGCCUCUUAACAUUCUGUAAUCUUUUUAUCAAAUUAGUUAUAAUUACUAACAAAGAAUUGUGACUUCUAUUAGUCUUUCUGUUAUGUAAGAAAGAAAAAAAGAGAUCUUAUCAAAUUCUGGAUUGCAUUCUAGAUAUUGCUCUUCUAUUACAGAUCAUUCAUCAAUAAUAUUUUUAGACAUGUUUUGAUUCCUUUAGACUUUGUUUUUUCUCCUUUUAUUAUAUUAUUCAUCAAUAAUAACAUUCCAUAAUCUUUCGAACAAAUUAGUUGUCAUUACUCAUUACUAACAAAGAAUUGUGACUUCUAUUAGUCUCUCUGUUCCGUAAGAAAGCAAAAAAAAGACCUAUCAAAUUCUGGAAUUGCAUUUUAGAUACUGCUCUUUAUUAUAUAUCAUUCAUUGAUAAUAUUUUUAGACACAUUUUGAUUCCUUUAGACUUUGUUUUUUCUCCUUUAUUUGUGUGUUUUCCACUUUGCACUAUUCUGACUAUAUAUUCUGUAGCUGAUAUUUAACUAAUCGUUUUAUCAUUUUAAAACUAACAAUUUAUCAUAUUAAUAAUAUAGGUUUUCCUACCUUGUUGGAUUUGCAUGUAAAGGUACUGAACAUAAUACCUUCGCUGUUGAUGAGUCACUUAAAGACUUCGCACAAUUAGUUGUUGGACUUUCAGUUGUUGGCUCCACUUUUCAAAAUUGUUUUUUUUCCCACAUUUGAACAUGAGGCAACAAAUAGUUUCCUCAUUGCUCUAAGUAUGCAUUUCUAGUUGUCUAGAAUUUAGGAGUAUAUUAUUGCUUUGGUUGUCAUGAACAAGGUUCGCAAUAUCGUACCGUACCGGUGUUUCGACCUGGGCUCGGUACGGUAUGGUACGGUGUACCGAGCGAUACCGCCAGGUGCACCGAGCGGUACACCUGAUUUUAGUCCGUUAAACCCUCCGAAAAUACCUGAAAAAAAAAAAAAAAGUUAGGAUAGGGUUUUCAAGUUAUAAAUAAAUAGAGUAAUAGUAUAAGUUUAGCAAAAUCAAUGUAAAUUAGGUAAGAAUAAUAUCACAUAUCUUUUUCGGGCUUUGAGGUAGUUUUGUUCGAGGUUCGUAUUUCAGUCCGUUAUAGAUUGAAAUAUCUACAGAAAAAUCAUUUGAAUUGUUAGACUAUUUUAUUACAAUAUAAACUCUAAAAUUUAAAUUAAUUAAAUAAUUACAUAUGUAGAUAUACCUGAUUGUUGAUUUUACCACCAAAACGAAUGACGGGCCUCCACCUAAUUUAACAUUGGCUCUGAAUCUUCGUUGUAGAAUUGGAGGUCAAUGGGAUCAAUAUGAUUCAAAUAUGUAAUUUUAAUCCAAUAUGAUUUAAAUUAUGAUAAAAUCAUUAUUUAUCUACACUAAUUAUACGAUUAACAUAGUUAAUUUUUCACUAAUUACUUCUCUUUCAACACUAUAAACAUGACAAAUACCCUAAUAGGUAUUAAAGACAUUUAAUUGAUAUAAAAUCGAAUAAAUUUCGAUUAAAUCAUCAUUAAAAUGAUUAAUCACAGCAUUAAAUAACUUUAAUAAAACUUAAUUAAACUUAUUUUACUAUCAUAAAUAUUAUUCAAUAUUUAAUAUGCAUGAAACAUACUAAUCAUAAUGUUAAAGAUCUUAAUUACUCUCUAAUUAAAGAAAGCGAAUACAUACCUCUUGAUUAGAAAGCUCUUUCUCUUAAUCUUCCAAAAUUAGCCUCGAUUGAAUUCACAAAUCGUUGUUUUGUAGAGUUUAGGAGAGAGAAAAAAGUUUGAGAGAGAGUUUAAGAUAGUAUAAUGAAAUAGGGGAGAAGAAUAGCUUAAAUAGAAUGAGAAAGGGCUCCAAUGGUCAAAUUGACCGUUGGAGCACUGUAGCACUGCUACAGUGCGGUAACGAUCGAAAUCGACCGUUACCGAUUUGUGCCGGGCGGUAACGGUUGAAAUUUCGACCGUUACCGCUCGAUAUUAUAUCGUAUCGUUCGAUACGAGGUUUUUUUGAAUGUACCGCCCGAUAGCGGGCGGUCUGCGUACCGGUAUGUACUGUUCGUACCGGGCGGUACAAUUCGGUAUUGCAGACCUUGGUCAUGAAUAUAGAAAUUCAGAAAAUAAAUAUAUCUGAGAUAUUUUUUUUCUGCUGUUAUGUAGUCCAUUCUCUAAUCUUAUAUAGGAAAUAUUUUAUUGAUGUCAGUUAUCUAGUUUUACGUGACAUGCCAUAUUUAGUAAUUUGUGCAUCUCUGUGUAUUUGCCUCGUUCAAGAUUCAGAUUGUUCAUUGUACCAACAACAACAAGAAGUGAAGAUAUCAUGGGUAGCUACUAUCAUUUUCUAAAAUGCUGUAUGAUUGGUUAUAACCAUUGGGUGUCAUACAAUUUCAACAAUGGUGAUUUAGAUUUAUUUACUCUCAAGUGUUGGUGCUAUCAGUUUUUUUGGUUAUGUUAAUGGUGCUUUGAGCUAGGAACUAGGUCAGAAAUUUUUUUUAAAAAAAUUGAAGAGAAUCUCAAGAAGUAAGAAAUCAUGAAGACAAAUGUCCAUCUUUAAAUAUUUUUGUGAUUUUAAAUGGAAUAUUAAAUGCAAAGCUACCUUUCUUGUGAUCUUAGAGUUCUCUCUUGGUGAUUGUUAUUUGUCAUAGCUUGAUAAGGAUUAGUAACCAGAUGACACUCACUUAAUAUGGGUUGUUUCUCUUUUAUUUUCAAAAUUUGCUAUCAAGUAGAUGUUAAUACAGACGAAUUCCAACGAUUUAUGACCUCUCCUCGACCUUUAGGUGUUAAUGUUGGUGUGUUUGUCUUGAUGAAAUUUGGGACUCAAUUGCUGAUGGUUUCAGUUUGGUCAUUUCUCAGAUGAUGGCGAUUGCAAUAUGUGGAUAUGGAAUUAUGGGAUAGUGUCACUUGGUAGAAUGUCUUUUCUUUGAUUAUUAGCUCUUAUGUUGUCUAGAUUCAACUUCCAAUAGCAUUUUGUAGUGCUUGUGAUCAAGGUUUUAGUUAUGCUCACUGAUCCGAAGUUUUUGUUUAUGUUCACUUAUCCAAAUUGAGAGAAUUACAUGGGCUCUUGAAAUGUUGCUGAAGUCAAGUCUGCAAUUUUGUGCCCUUAACAUUGGAACUAUAAAUUUUUAUGAUGUGUUGUUAGCAAGAAGUUCUUAUGCAUUUAUGAUGCAAUCAUUACUAUAGUUAAUAAGGUUUUAUAAUGUGGCAUUUUAUAUUGUUUGCUAUGCUUUAGCUAAAUUGACUUUACUCAACUCGAUACUCAAAGAACAUCCUUGUGUAAUUUUUAUGGUCCUUUUUGCUUAUCAUGUUAUUACUUCUAAAAUAAUUAAUUUGUAAUUCUAUGAUGGUAAAUGUACAAUGUGAAAUAUUAAGUGUAAAUAAAAUCUCACUCAAAUUGAAAUGACUAGCAAAGCAAAUUAUAAAGGUAUCAUACAAAGCUAGUUGUUAAUUGGAACAUAUUUGUGCAGCAUUCAACUGAUAUCUCAAUAAAAGAUGCUUCUUAAUCAGGUUAAAACACAUGUACUUAUCUAUACAUUUUGAAGGUACACUCAAUCAGUUACGUUUUGAUAUGGUAAUUUGAAACUUUUAUUUUUAGUCUCCAUAGGUUAGGCUUUGUAGAAUCACUAGAUUUGGGUAUAAAAGUAGAUGCAUAACUGAAUCAUGACACCUUUGGCUCAUAUCAUAUUCUUUUUUAUCACUAAAUAGGAAGCUAGCUACUUAGUUUUGAUGAACAUCUUCUAUUGUUUAUAAAGCAAAUUGUCAUGCCCUGUAAUUCUUUAUGUUGUUUUUCUUCUUUUAUUUUUUCAUGUAAUAUGGUAUCAAAACUUAAUCGUUGACCCGUAUGCUUGUCCCUCUUGGAUUUGUAUGCUAUGUUUGUAUGUAGUUGUUUUUGCUUUUCAUGUACUUUCCAACUUCCAUGAAUGAAUUGAAUAUUGGUACCAAUUCUAACGCAAUAUGAUGUGAUAUAACACAAAAAUACAAAAAUUGUUAGUUGAAAUCUUUAGGAAUGUACAAUAUAUUAAUUAAUGCUAGCAAAUGAUCGGAUUGAUGUUGUCAAAUUGACUCUGUUAGAACGUCAAUCCUUGUUGUCAAUAUAUCAUACCAACUCAGGCAGAACAUCAAUAACAUCAAUCCUUAUUAUCAAUAUACCUUGGUUACUUUAAUUAUGGCUAUCUAAAAUCGAAACAUGAAAAAAUUUUUAAGGAAAAUAAUUUGGAGUACAUAAAUUAUUUUUUAUGACUUUUAAACAUAAUACAGUUGUUUGUGGUAAAAUUCCAAAUUAUUUUGUUCUGUUUAAUGAAAUUUGCCACCAAAUUGGGAGUAUAACUAAAUUUCCUUUGUCAUGAGAAAAAAUAAUAGAUAAUUUUAGAAAGAAAUAUUGAUAACAAUUAAGAAGAAGUUGACAAAGACAUAUAACACAAACAAAACAUAUAAAAUAUUUAAAAUAAUUAGGAAAAUAUGAUUUAAUUGAAAGCAGUCUAAAAAAUGUUUAAAUAAGAUUUAACAUAAUAAAAACAUGAAAAAUUAAAAAUCUACUUAUGUUGAUAAAGAUGUUAGAGAAAUGUUUACAAAUUUAUGAAAAUUAAAAAUUUCACAAAAGUUGUCUUAGUCUAAGAAUAUAUUUUCCUCAAAUCUUAAAAAUCCAUAAUAGUUUAUCACAGAAUCAAAAUCUUCAAGGGCAUUCCUAUAGACUACAUCUAUUCGAUCCAAAACAUAGUUAUCUAAUAAGGGACAUGACGAGUGCCUACUGGGCCUCUACCUGAACUUCAUUAACUCAAACAAACAUAGUUCACUCGAUCAAGGAUCUCUGCCAAUUUCCUUGCCCUCAAACACCUAUUGCAUCAAUGAUAACAUAUUUUAUAAUUUAAAAGAUACAGUCAACAAAGAAAAAAUACUCUUAACAUGCCUCCUUAGUUUUGAUGUAAUGCAUUACUUAGCUUUUAAGGAAUGAACAUUUUGAUUUUUUAAAAAAUAGAUGUAAUUGAAAUAAAGUUUACAAAAGGUAGAAUAUGGUGAUUAGGAAUACUUGUUAAUUGGCUAAAAUAUGUUAAUUGUUGCCAUUUUGUGUGUCUUCAUUAAGAAUUAAUUAUAAAAAAUACAGUUAUCAUUUAACAAAUAUAAGGCAUUGUUAGAGAUUACAUUUUAGAGGAAGGGAGAUGCAUACUUGAAAAGGUCAUUUUAUAAAUAUAAAGCAGUAUUAGAGCUCAAAUUUUAGCGGAAGAGAAGCAUAGUUGAAAUUUGAAAAGAUCUACCAAGUUUUUUUUUUAGUCUAAAAUAUCACAUUCUAAAUAAAUACCUUGAUGAUGUCUAUAAUCUAUUGUUUGGACUCUGGAUUAUAGUAUCUCUUUCUCUUUCAUUCAAAUUUGUUAAUGAUAAAAAAUGACUAACAACUUGUUUGUAUACCAGGCGGAACAUGCUGGUAUACUAUCUUAUAUACCAGUACCAUACUACUCUGAUAUAUUAUUGAAACCGAUAUCGGGCUGAGAUUGAAAAUAUUAUUUUUUGGUGUGUAUUUUGUUUAUUUCAAUUUGUUUACAAGAGUAGUUCUAAUUCAUUUUUAUGGGCAUUAACUUUAUUUAUGGUAACAUGUGGAAUUUUACUGCAAGACAACUACGUAGUUUGUCAACAUGGCAACCAAUUUUAGUGACUAAGACUUUUAGUUAAAAGCAAGGGCUUUUCAAUUUUAGUUAUUUUGGGUUACAUGAAUGAACAAACAGAGUACUUUUUUUUCCCAAAAGUGGACAAAUUUAAACAUGCAAGAUGAUAUGCUAAACAUUGUUUGUAAAAAAUGAACUAACAAAAUGAAAGAAUGCAGGAAGAACUUGCAAGACUCUGAAUGUUUACAUCUUUGGGCAAUGUAUCAUUCAAACCAGAAGCUCAGCUUAAACACAUACUUUACCUUCAUUUGAAUUAGUGAAUUGGUCCCCCCUCUCUCUUUUUGUUAAGCCUUCUGAAUUUUUUAAUGAAAUAUUGCAAACUUGUUUGAAGAGUUCAAUUAUUCCAAGAAUUACUUCAAUGCAUUUCUGAUUUUAGUAAGAUGCGUCAUAAUUUCUGUAGAAAGCAGUUAUUUCAACCUAAGAGAAUUGUAAACCACAGUAUAUUUCAUAAUAGCAAAGAGAUACCAAACAAAUAAAUCUAUGAGCUUGAUAAAGGUGAGGCAUUGUAAUUCUGUUUAUUAUGUUUUUCCCUGUGAAAUGAAUAAAAAUAUCAAAUUUACAUGUCUUUCCAUGAAUAGACUAGGUCUUCUGCAACAUAGAUACACUUCUGAUCCUAAGAUAGGGCUAGAAAAAUGGUGCCAAAUGGGAUAUAAUGCAGGUUCUAAAUUUUGGAAGUUAGCUUACUAGAUCAAUAGUUCACAAAUGCUUCAUUAUGGUGAUAGUGGAGUAGUUCGGGUCCUUCCGAUUAACAGGAUCUUCAUUGAAUCUGAAGGUUCUGAUUUGUGAUUGUUUCAGUCUAUGGGAUUUAUCUUGCUGAAUCAGUUGUAGCUGUAGAAGAGUAGUAGCAAUGUUCAUGAGCUUGAUAGACAAGCUUGUUAUGUUUCAUAUAAAUGUUCACCAAUUAAUGACAUGGCUACUAUUUCAGUAUUUUUUCAAUUCUGCUGUUGUGGUCAUUUACCACAAGUUUCAGCAUCCAAGCACUAUAUCUGAAAUUUUCCUUUUGUAAGUAUAACACCGACCUUUGAGUUGGUAUUUCUUGUUUCCAACUUCCCUAUUUGUUUACUGAGAUUAAGGUAGCAACAGCGGUUGUGAUUAUUUAUUGCGAUUCCAGUAAUAUCACAUGUGGUACCAAGUUUGAAUUUGACAUGAUAAUUCCGAUUGAAUUAUUUAAGUCAUCAUUUUUUUAAUAAUAUAUUGAUGAUCUUGUUGGAUGUAAUGAAGAAACAAAAUGAAUAUUGGGUAAGCAUUUGAAGUCUCCAUCACCAAAGUUACCAUCCCUUCCAACACCUCUACCUCUGUGCCUCUUGCCAUCGUCAUGUACAUCUUGUAAACUAUCAUUGGCCUUAUGGACAAGGCUAAUGCGGUGGACAUUGAUGAUCCUCAGGAAACUCCAUAGCCUGAUCAAGACAAACAAGAAGCUCGUGGCCAACGUUGGGUCUGUCUUCAAUAUUUGAUGAAAUUGUUAAAACUGAAGUAACGAGGCACAUGCAACCUACUGAUUACUUGAGCUUGUUUGGGGAAGAAUUCAAAUGAACUGAAGAUUAUUGGGAUGCUUCUUAUUUGAAUGUCUUGGAUAUAUCUGCAGCGGAAGAAGGCAGUCCUCAUGUCUUAUUUGGAUGUGCUUCACAAGCAAAAGCAGCAUGUGUAUUGAUUGAUUUAUGCUUUGGACCAUUAUCACCAUGGAUAUAUACAAUUACUGCAAAGGUUUCAUCUUUUUCCAUAAUAAGUCUACAUAUUAAGUCAACAACUUGUAUUUUUGUAACUGCAUCGACCCUUUUUCAUGUUGAUCUUGCAAUUGAACUUCCGGAGGACCUCUUGGUGUUAUUCAAUGUACUCCUUUUUGUUUUGGGGCCACAUAUGCCAUUUCUUCAGAUAUUGACCUUUGCAAAUGUUCAUUUCCUAAGGUGGCUGAUCAAGAGUCUUUAGCUGUUUCUUCUAACUUUGUGAUAUGUUCUCAUGGGGCUUCUAGCACAUCCAGUAAUCCGGAUGAAGCAAAGAGAAAGAUUGAUGCAUCUAAAGCUGCCACAAGAAAGAUGUACUCCAAGAUGCUAAUCUGUAGUUUGCUCCUAGAGAUCUGUCAAAAAUUGUUCUGACAAGUGUUUCAAAUUAUUUUACUGGGGACUGGAUCAGAUUGAAUUUCAGUUGUGGUGUUUCAGAGGUGAAUAAGAUUUCAAAUAACAACUUUCAGAAUAUUGGUUUCUUUGCUGAUUACUUGUAUUCACAAGCAGAUUAUCUACAACUUGUAAACUAUCAAGAUUCGGUAUAUAGGGCUUCCCAAUUUGAACAUUUGGCAGCUGAUUUGUGUUCCCAGCAUGACAACCCCAGAAAGCCAUGAAGCUGCAAUAGAAUCCAUACUCUUGGCUGCAGAAUGUUAUGCCAACUCAUUCUUUAUAAUCGAUUUCAUAUGGAUGCAAUUCAGAGCUUAUGAAUCAGAUGAAAAUCAUUGGAUCCAAAUUCAUGAAUAAAAAUGGAUUAGUGGUGUUUUAUGAAGACCUUAAGAGAUGUAAUGUCAAUCUGGAGACAAUAGCUUAUCUUGAAAGUAAAAGAGAUAUAACUGUUCUACAAAUUCUGCUUCCGCUAAACUGGACCUCGAAUCUGAGAGAAUUUUGGCUCUUUGGAAACCUUGUACAUAUUAUUUUGAAGAUAAUCAGUAGGCUUUAGAAAUAUCACAAGUCGACAUUGAAUCUGAUGUGGCAACUUUGAUUAGGCAGAAUCAACCAUUGCUUUGCCACUUUGUAAUCCUCCUACAGAGUCUCCCCUCUUUCUACUGCAUUCUGCAACUGAGUUAUCCUGUUCUGCAGAGAAUGUUAAUGACAUUAUACUGCAGUCAGCUGCAAAUCUUAGUGGACAACUUACAAUUUUGUACACCCAACUGAAAGCAGGCAACAUACAACUUGAAAUGGUAAAGUUACAUGGGCUGCCAAGGUGCUGGGCACUUCUUGAAAGAUUAAUCUGGAAAUGAUGAACGGACAUAUCCCAUUGGUAUCAAAAGUGCUGGUUUCAUCUACAGAACUUUAGUUCCACAUUUAUCAUGGAUGCAGAAAAUAUCUAGAUUUUCAAGUUGCACAUGUUCAUUUUCUAGAUUUUUAGGAUGGAUGUCAGUAUCUUGAAAUACAAAGCAAUACUUGAAGGAACACUUGUUUAUUGCCUCUGGUCUUUCACAAAUUUCAUCGUUUUUUCAGUUUUUGAGGAUGAGUUAGCACUUACCGAUAAUUUAGUAAUAGAAUUUUUAAUCUGCAUAUUCAUAUCCAUCAGGUACCAAAACACACUCCCACAGAAUUUGAGUCUUCUGAUCAGUCAGAUGUUAAACUAUCAUUUCAGUAUCAAAAGGCACGUGAAGGCUCUUCUCAUAAACGUAACGCUCAGAAGGAACUUCUCGAAGUAAUAUCACAUCGGUUGCAUGUAGACAAUAGUAUAGAAUUCAUCGGGAAGUUGUUGUUCGGUUC